AGUGAACGCUGGCGGUAGGCCUAAUACAUGCAAGUCGAACGGCCGCACAGUAAGAGCUUGCUCUUACGGGUGGCGAGUGACGGACGGGUGAGGCAUACAUCGGCAUCUACUUUUUCGUGGGGGAUAACGUAGGGAAACUUCUGCUAAUACCGCAUACGACCUACGGGUGAAAGCAGGAGUGCUUCGGGCCUUGCGCGACUCUAUUAGCCGAUGUCGAAUUAGCUAGUUGGCGGGGUAAAGUACCACCAAGGCGACGAUCCGUAGCUGGUCUGAGAGGAUGAUCAGCAACACUGGAACUGAGACACGGUCCAGACUCCUACGGGAGGCAGAAGUGGGGAAUAUUGGACAAUGGGCGCAAGCCUGAUCCAGCCAUACCGCGUGGGUGAAGAAGGCCUUCGGGUUGUAAAGCCCUUUUGUUGGGAAAGAAAAGCAGCAGGUUAAUACCGCGCGGUUCUGACGGUACCCAAAGAAUAAGCACCGGCUAACUUCGUG
rnacentral:rRNA from 1 species